rnacentral:rRNA from 1 species
AAUUACAACUUUCAACAACGGAUCUCUUGGUUCUGGCAUCGAUGAAGAACGCAGCGAAAUGCGAUAAGUAGUGUGAAUUGCAGAAUUCAGUGAAUCAUCGAAUCUUUGAACGCACAUUGCGCCCUUUGGUAUUCCAAAGGGCAUGCCUGUUCGAGCG